CUCUAAUAUCAAUUCGGAAUAUAUAUUUUAAGGAAUAUAUACAGUAAUAUAUUAGAUAUUAAAGAGACUUAUUCCAUCCGAUUUACUAAUACAGUAAAAAGGUAAAUAUGAAUCAAUAAAAUACAUAUUAGUAGAGCUAAAAACUAGAAAAUAUGUGAUUUAU
rnacentral:ncRNA from 12 species